UAGGACGGUCAUAGUGGUCUGUAUCACCUGUUCCCAUCUCGAACACAGAAGUUAAACAGGCUUACGUUCCAUGUGCUACUGCACUUAUGCGGGAAGCGUGGAAAGCUGUCCACC
rnacentral:rRNA from 1 species